CAUUGGGUAUCUAAGUUUAAGUGUUGGAUUCUUACUCCAUUGAUGUGGUUACACCCCAAUGG
rnacentral:tRNA from 1 species